GGGCCACCCUGGGGAGCAUCUGGCAAGACAUGGCAAAUGUGGAUGGAUGGUAGAUGGGGUGGGGCCCCCCUCCUCCUCCACUGUUGCACGUAAGUCCAAGCCCUGAAUCCUAGGACACAUCAGACAAGAGCAAAGGGAUCUUGCAAGAGGCAACCAGGCCAGUAUUCGGAUGAGGGGAGGCAUCUGGAGAGAAGUGAGGCAGUCAGACAAGCCUGAGGAAUCCAUGGCCAGCCCCCCAGCCUCUGUGCUGGGCAGCCUUCGGCCCCGGAUGCAGAGGACUUGGGAAUAAAGACCUGGCUCUCUCGUUCUUCAGGUGGCACAUCAGUAACACAUUGGAGGUCCGUCCCCUGCUGCAACCAUGGAAAUGCUUGCACGUUCCCGAAUGCACCAGGCCUUUUCCAUCCCGGGAUCUAUUAGAAAGCGCUUCCCCUGCCCUCUUCCCUCAGGGCUCAACUCAGGUGUCACCUCUUCCAGGAACCCUUCUGAGGGCCUUCAAGCUAAGAUACACCUUCCUCCCA